CUACCCUACUGAAUUUUGAUCCCUACUUGAAGGCCACAAUACAGAAGCCUCAACUAAGGACUUUCUUUCAAGUUUUAAAACUACCUUCGUUUCCCAGCAAGGAACUUGUCCUGGAACUUGUGAUCCAGCCCAUCCUGCUCUACCCUACUGAAUUUUGAUCCCUACUUGAAGGCCACAAUACAGAAGCCUCAACUAAGGACUUUCUUUCAAGUUUUAAAACUACCUUCGUUUCCCAGCAAGGAACUUGUCCUGGAACUUGUGAUCCAGCCCAUCCUGCUCUACCCUACUGAAUUUUGAUCCCUACUUGAAGGCCACAAUACAGAAGCCUCAACUAAGGACUUUC